rnacentral:ribozyme from 1 species
UUUUUUUUUUUUUUUUUUUUUUUUUUUUUUUUUUUUUUUUUUUC